AGUCAAUAGAUACCCGGGUAGUCCACGCCGUAAACGAUGAGUACUAGGUGUAGGAGGUAUCGACUCCUUCUGUGCCGCAGUUAAACACAAUAAGUACUCCGCCUGGGAAGUACGGUCGCAAGAUUAAAACUCAAAGGAAUUGACGGGGGCCCGCACAAGCAGCGGAGCAUGUGGUUUAAUUCGAAGCAACGCGAAGAACCUUACCUAGACUUGACAUCUCCUGAAUAGUGUAGAGAUACAUGAAGCCCUUCGGGGCAGGAAGACAGGUGGUGCAUGGUUGUCGUCAGCUCGUGUCGCGAGAUGUUGGGUUAAGUCCCGCAACGAGCGCAACCCUUAUUACUAGUUGCUACCAUUAAGUUGAGCACUCUAGUGAGACUGCCCGGGUUAACCGGGAGGAAGGCGGGGAUGACGUCAAAUCAUCAUGCCCCUUAUGUCUAGGGCAACACACGUGCUACAAUGGUGAGUACAGAUGGAUGCGAUACCGCAAGGUGGAGCCAAACUCUAAAACUCAUCCCAGUUCGG
rnacentral:rRNA from 1 species